UGGGGAAUUUUGGACAAUGGGCGAAAGCCUGAUCCAGCAAUGCCGCGUGUGUGAAGAAGGCCUUCGGGUUGUAAAGCACUUUUGUCCGGAAAGAAAUCCUUGGCUCUAAUACAGUCGGGGGAUGACGGUACCGGAAGAAUAAGCACCGGCUAACUACGUGCCAGCAGCCGCGGUAAUACGUAGGGUGCAAGCGUUAAUCGGAAUUACUGGGCGUAAAGCGUGCGCAGGCGUUUGCUAAGACCGAUGUGAAAUCCCCGGGCUCAACCUGGGAACUGCAUUGGUGACUGGCAGGCUAGAGUAUGGCAGAGGGGGGUAGAAUUCCACGUGUAGCAGUGAAAUGCGUAGAGAUGUGGAGGAAUACCGAUGGCGAAGGCAGCCCCCUGGGCCAAUACUGACGCUCAUGCACGAAAGCGUGGGGGAGCAAACAGGAUUAGAUACCCUGGUAGUCCACGCCCUAAACGAUGUCAACUAGUUGUUGGGGAUUCAUUUCCUUAGUAACGUAGCUAACGCGUGAAGUUGACGCCUGGGGAGUACGGUCGCAAGAUU
rnacentral:rRNA from 1 species